UUUCGCUAUUAAGCCUCUUUAAAACGGACAAUCUGGUUUAAGUUCAAUGUGCAUUCACAUGACUCGGUGAACCGAGUACAUAUUUUAGGUUAUCAAUUUACAGUAAACGCUAAGUCCAUUUGUGGCCUUAAUGCUAAUAUAAUAUGGAUUUUCAUAGAAGCAGUCACUACCUGUUUCCAAUUACCAUAACUGAAAACAUAUUAUUGGCAUACUUACCAGGUGUAAAUUAUUACCAGAUGCAUGACUUUUCUUUAUUUAAUAAAGAAAUAUUUUCAUAAGCUAUAAUUUUUACAUUUAAUUGUAUUUGAGUAUUUUGGAUCUACGGUGCUUGCGAAUAGAUGCUUAAAACUAAAUAUUAGGCAAACAUUUAUGGUAUAAAUAUAACAAAAUGAAACCAUUUUAGAUAGUAAACAAAAUAAACGACAGUGCAUAUUCAUAUAGUUCCUGAUUUCCGUUUCUCCAUGUGCUCUGUUAACUCACGUGUUGGGGUACAUGCUUGAUCAUUUUAUCUUUUUACCUCUCAAAGACUGAUACCGGGAGCUGGAAAAACGCUGUUCUCGAUCGUGCCUUUACAUUACGAAUAAGAAAGUCAUUGGUGUUGCAAACAAUAUUUCUUGACGUGUAUGUGAUAUGUAUUAAGGAAAAAACAUGGUUACUUUAUGAAUGAAGCGUUUUGCUUUGUAGGCUAAUUCAAAUUAGAGAACAGUAAGUGAUCAAAAACAAAUUAAUCUUAACUAUAAUGCACGGUAAGUCAUCAGAGUAGUUUAUAAGAAAUUCAAUUAAAUCAAUAACAAGGCAUGGUAAUAGCAUUUUUAAAUAGCUCACAAAGUGAUAACGAUGGAAGUGACAAGCCGUUAGUCAUUUUUUAUCAUUUGAUCCUUGGGGCCCUUCAGCAACACGGAGCAUUUUAAACACCUUGUUAAUCCGCGCUAAUAUCUAAAUGCUCUAAAUGAGUUGAUCUUUCAAUUAGAACUACAGUACAGGAGAUGAUUGCAGAGUUUGUGCAUAUAACCAGCAAGUUAGUACAGCAGUACUGUUGUACGAUAAGCAAGGAAUGACGACAGAUUGAUGGGAAUGGAUUCAUAUGGCCUACACAUUACAUCCUUCAGACAGAAGGUUAAGAAGAACUUUGGCAGUGGGUCAAAGACUGCAGUGGACAAAACUCGAAAGGUCUGCCACCUGCUGGACGCAGAGAGCGUAGGCUUCAGGUGGAGUAAGGAUAAAUCCUUACUCCAGCUGCUUAUCUAAUACAGGGUCGCAGGGGGACUGAAGCCUAUCCUAGGCAACAGGCGCAGUGUAAGGGAACACCAGUCCAUGACAGGACAUCGCAGGAAGACAAACCACACGAUGCAGUGGGGAAGAUGCAAGCACAUACAUGCACAAUGCAACACAUAAGCACUAAAAGCUAUAGAUAGAUAGGAGGUUCCUACUCACAGUGUAAGAUGAAUAAUUAACAUUCAUACUAUUAAGAUGAUACUAAUGAAACCAUUAAUGUGUUUGACCUUAAAGAUGGACUGACAAAAAAAAACUAAUGUAGAAAUUUCAGGUUUUGCAUUUCUUUAAUUAUCAUCCUCCAUGUUCAGUUCCUAAGCACUGGUGCUGGAGAGACUGUUCAGAUUUAUAAAGCAAUUAUUUAUAAACAAAUUAUCUGACUCAUGAAGACUUAGCCACUCAUUCUAAUGAAAUUAAUAAACUUUUUUUGUGUAACGGACAAUCUGAUCUAACUGUUAUUAGAAAAAAAUGCAAUUCCUUCUUAACUCCGGUUGUAUUGUCAAUGAAAGCUUAAUUUACAGUGACUAACGGGUGUCACUUGAUAUUUCCGAAUACGGUGUUCGCACGAAUGGAUACAACCGCAGCAGGUUAACGUUAAGGCAUGCGUCAUACUUGCGGGCUCUCGCCUGUAGGUGGUGCUGUUGUCUUUUGUAAGCAGUGCUUCAGCCCGUUAAUACUGUACUGUUGAAGAAGCACCGUUCAUAGUGCUGUUCACCACUGGAGCCUUGGGGACAUGUAAGUGCUUCAGUGAUUCUUUCAGAGGACUUGUGGAUUGUAUUAUACUGUCAACUGACGGGAUUGUCUGUGUAUUAUCUUAGUAUGGCUGAUAUUCUAUCGCACUCAUUGUGAGGGCUGCCAACUCACACUCACGCAAGAAA